rnacentral:hammerhead_ribozyme from 1 species
GUACUGCUGACGAGUCCCAAACUAGGACGAAACAGCUGGCUAUCCAGUAC